UACAGCCAUAUCAUGUUGAAACACUGUUUUCUAUAAAUCACUGAAGUUAAGCAACAUUCAGCCUGGUUAGUACCUAGAUGGGUGACCACUUGGGAAUACCGGUGUUGUAAG